CCACUUUGUGCUGGAGGUCUAAACACUAACCUGGGGAAGAGGAGCCAAGAAUUUCAGUGCAUUACGAACCACGUUCCCCUUUAUAAGUGUACACACGCUAAAAGCGGCAAGAACUUAAACCAGGACUUUUCCCAAGAUCAUUCCCUCUCUCCUUCAUCCCCGCUAACAAAACCGUCCCGAAGUAACUCCGCACCCGGGUCCCAGCACAACGCGCGGGCGCCGGCCCGCACAGGGCGGUGGGACACGGCCAGCAGCGACCGCCGCAGUCCCGGGGCGCUAGGCAGAACGCUCUGCGCCAACGCGCGGGUCCCGCGGCCGGGGCUGCGGCCGCACUCGGCGGGCAGGGCCGGGGCUGAGGCGCUGAUUCGGGCCGUGACCUUCAGGCCGAGCCGGCGGAGCGGGCUGAGGCGGGACGGGGGCCGAACGAAGAGCCCCGCGGGAAAGUCGGGCCCGGGCCGAAGCCCCCGGAGCCCCACGGCCGCUCCUCCCGCGGACGGAAAGCUCCCAGAAGGAAAACCCCGGCCGUACGCCACGCGGGGGCCGGGCCCGAGGGGUCCCCCCGCGCCGGGCUGUCACACGGCGCCCAGAAAGCGCUGCACGGAACGGCGAGGCCUGGGGGGAGGAGGGGGCGGGGUGACGGGACGCGACAGCCGCCCCCGCGCUCCUCUUCCUCACGCGGGACACCCGCUUCCCCCGGGCCCCCCGGCUCCAACUUUCCCCCUCAGAGAAGCGAAGCAUCCGGGGUGGAAGUCGAAGGGGCGGCCAGGCUGGGGGAAGAGCCGCACCGCCGCGCCCUUCCUCGCUCGCCGCCUCACCUCCUCGGGGUGCCCUCCCGGCUCCGUCACGCAGCGCUGCGGCGGCGGCCCCGACGGCGCGGGCCGCUCUCCAUCUCCGUCCGCCUCGGCCGUCCCGGGCGCAGUGCGGGGCGCAGUCGGGACAUUCGCUACAUUGUUAGCAUUCCUCGCGCGUCACGUGACCGCGCGCCCGCGUCAUUCCACUCUCCCCCUCCUCCGCCGCCCCUCCCGCCACAUACCAGCGGGGGGAGGGGCCUCGGGGCGGCGGGGCGGGAACGGCCGCUGGGGUUGGGGUUGGAGCUGCCUGAGGAGAGGCGGCGGGGCCGCGCGGCGCUGUGGUUGCGGGCUGUCCUACGGCCCUCGUUGUGUUUACGGGCACCGUGUGGCACUUUCCCACCUUACAAAAACCUCGCCCGCCUCGCAAAGGGCUCCUUCCCCCGCGAAAAAAAAAAAAAGUUCUGAAGUGGUCUCCAGGGAGUGCUGGCAUCGCUGUCCCAAUUGUGGCGGUGGCUGUGUUGUCCCAUCCGCUGGCUGA
rnacentral:lncRNA from 1 species